AGAAAGCAAUCCCUUUCAGUUUCAGGGGCUGCAACGGCAGAAGCAGAUGGGCUGCAAGGCCAGCCCUGCCAAGAUGUGGCCUUUCCUUCCUGCAGCACCAAAAGUGUAAUUGGCAACCACUCUGCAGCCACACCCGCUGCUCACACACUUUCGUUCACCACCCCUUCCUGCAGCAUUCAGAGCAAGUCAUCUGGUUUUUAAACACCCCGGGAAAAUGCUCCAGCCUAGGGGCGUGCGGGUUGCUGUAGAGCUCUGUACAGUUUUAGUUUACCCAAAAAAUCCCAAAUUGAGAAUCCUUUGCUGUGAUAGAAAUGCUGGUUCUGUUCCACUUAUUCUGUUUCUCCAAAUACAAGCCAGGUUAAAUAUCCAGACUUCAUUUCUUCAUCUUUCCCAGCCAGAAAAUUCACCCCUGAACAGACUAAAUCUAAGGGUAUUUUAAAUCUGCCAAACUUAGAAAAAACACAACACAAAAAAGUGUUUUCUUCUUGAAAACUAUGCUGCUUUCUGGCCUGGUUGGAUAUCUGAUAUUCUCCUUCCUAUUAUUUUGGAAAAGUGCUCACAUUUGAGAGGGAAAGCACUCCCAGGUUUAUUAAAAUUAUCUGAGCCCCUCUUGUGGGAGCCCUUUUCUCCUGUUCCUUUCCCAGUAACUCUUUUUUUUCAGGACUGAGCUUCCCUGCCACUCCACUUGAAGACAGAACAGUACAAACCUCUUGCCUCACAGUUUCAGAGUGUGCGUUACAGGGAGGGAAAGAAGGGAAAAGCUGUCCUCCCUGGAAGAAAGGAAGGAGCUAGCACUGGAGUAGGACACAGGAGACCACUUCUGUUGCUGAUCUGUCAUCCAUCUGCAUGUCUGCUAUAGCUUUUUCUCCUGCAUUUGGACACCAAGAGACCGAAUCCACUCCAGGGAUCGAAAGCUGAACCGGGAGAAGCUGUAUGAGGGCAACACCUGAGUUGACUUCGCGUCAGCACUAGAACAAACAGGUUCUG